rnacentral:rRNA from 1 species
UACGUAGGGGGCUAGCGUUGUCCGGAUUUAUUGGGCGUAAAGAGCUCGUAGGCGGUUUGUCACGUCGGAUGUGAAAGCCCGGGGCUUAACUCCGGGUCUGCAUUCGAUACGGGCAUCACUAGAGUUCGGCAGGGGAGACUGGAAUUCCUGGUGUAGCGGUGAAAUGCGCAGAUAUCAGGAGGAACACCAGCGGCGAAGGCGCCGCUCUGGGCCGUAACUGACGCUGAGGAGCGAAAGCAUGGGUAGCAAACAGG